rnacentral:snRNA from 1 species
AUGCUUACCUGGCAGGGGACACCAUGAGCACAAAGACAAUGUCCUCAGGGUGAGCCUUGUCCACUGUGUUGCCCUUGAGGUCACCCAGAUGUGGGAAACGAGACUGCAGGGUUUGUAGUCGUGGAGUAUGUAUGAAUACACAGACA